GCGUCCUGAACCAAAGAGAGAGGGAGGGGGGAAGAGAAAGAGAGAGAGGGAGGUGGUGCAUCCUCCGCAUCCUCCUCCUCCUCCACGCCUGCCCGGCUGCGGCAAAGCUCCGCAGUAGGUGCUCCCCUCCCCCGUGCAUUUCCUUUGCUGUAGAAACUUCUGGAAUCAGCAGCCGAGCUGGGGAGAGGAAAGCAGAGCAACCCUGCUGCCCGCAGAGGGGGGAGAAAAAAAAAAGCGAGCUGAGCCAUAGAGCAGGCAAUAAAAGGGAGAGGAAUGCACAGCAGCGGGGCACGCACGUCGCUCCGUGCAUCACGUAGGGCAGCCCGCGGGGCUGGAAAUAAAGCACAAAAGCACACAAAUGGUGGUGUGUGCGGCGCUGGAUAGUGGGACAAGGAGCUGAGCCCUCCUCCCGGAGCUGCACUAAGCCCUGCCACUCAGUUCAGCUCAUCCGUCCUCAUUUCGGUGCAAUGAAUUCAGUGCCUGCCCGACUGCACUGGCAGAGUCAGCUGCCUUCUUCUUUUUUUUUUUUUCUUUUUUUUAAAUAAUUAAUAUUGCUUUCCUUUUUGGUUCUGUUUCACUGCUUUAUUUUUUACUUUUUAUUUUUUUAUCCUUUAAUUAAGAAAUCUUUCCCCAACAUCCCAAGGGAAAUCUACACCUCUGUGGAACAAAUAAAGCAUUCAGGCACCAAUCUUCACCACGGACUGAUCAAAUGGGCGGCUGGUCGCAUUUUGCUUGUUUUUACCUUUUUUAACUAUUAUUUUUCGUCUUUUUUUUUUUUCUUUUGGGUGUGUGCGUGUAAUUUUUUUUCCCUCUUGCUCUUAGGACAGUAGAAAGCCAAUGGAGGAAAACAAAGUAUUACCACAUCUGAUCUCACCACAUGUAUGUUUUUAAUUACCAGAACGGUGGCCGUGAGGAGGCAGUUCCUUCCCUCAGUCCUCGGCUGUUUGGGGCUUUUUUAGCGUUGUUUUGCUUUUUUUUUUUUUUUUUUUUUUUGUUUUUGUUUUUUUAAUUGGGCAUUUUCCACGCGGUGAGGACAGCGAUUGCAACCCCUGCGGAGGAGAGAAGUGGAGGGGGAGAAAUUAGGCAUCAAGCUAUCGAAAUACCCACCUGGGAGGGCGCGUGUGGAGGGGGAGGAAAGAGCAGCGUUGACCCCAAAAUCUUCACGCUGUGAGGGGAAAAAAACACUUCAAAAUGGGACGGUGAGGGGGACGGGAAGGGAACGAGCGGCCCUCAGGGCGCCGCGGGCCCUUCCCGCGCUCUCCGCCCGCCGCCAUUUUGUCGCCUCAGUACCGCUCGGCGCGGCCCCGCCGGGCGCCAUUUUGUGAAGCGAGCAGCGGGCGGGGCCCUGCAGUACCGCGGGCGGCGCUGUACCGCGCGGCCGUCUGCCUCCCCCUCCCCUUUCUGUGAGAAAAACAUCCUCCGUUCGCUCAUUUACCCUCACAAUUUUGUUGUUGUUGUUGUUUUUUCCUUCACAAAAUAAGGUUACGCGGUGUUCUUAAAACAGGGUCGGGAAAAGGGGACAAGGGGACAAGGUCUCCUCAGCACCCUGCGUAC
ensembl:lncRNA